GAAUGUGUUCCCCUACCCCUCAGUCCUGACCGAGGAACAAGAACAAACCCUGCAGGAGCUCGUGGGUCCCCUCAGCCGCUUCUUUGAGGAAGUGAACAACCCCGCCAAAAACGACGCCCUGGAGAAGGUGGAGGACAAGACCAUGAAAGGGUUAAAGGAGUUGGGGGCGUUUGGGCUCCAGGUGCCCCUCGAAUUUGGGGGGCUGGGGCUCAACAACACCCAG